GAUGAACGCUGGCGGCGUGCCUAAUACAUGCAAGUCGAGCGAACAGACGAGAGUGCUUGCACUCUCUGACGUUAGCGGCGGACGGGUGAGUAACACGUGGGUAACCUACCUAUAAGACUGGGAUAACUUCGGGAAACCGGAGCUAAUACCGGAUAAUAUUUAGCUUCGCAUGAAGCAAUAGUGAAAGACGGUUCUGCUGUCACUUAUAGAUGGACCCGCGGUGUAUUAGCUAGUUGGUGAGGGAACGGCUCACCAAGGCAACGAUACAUAGCCGACCUGAGAGGGUGAUCGGCCACACUGGGACUGAGACACGGCCCAGACUCCUACGGGAGGCAGCAGUAGGGAAUCUUCCGCAAUGGACGAAAGUCUGACGGAGCAAUGCCGCGUGAGUGAAGAAGGUUUUCGGAUCGUAAAACUCUGUUGUAAGGGAAGAACAAGUACGUUAGUAACUGAACGUACCUUGACGGUACCUUACCAGAAAGCCACGGCUAACUACGUG
rnacentral:rRNA from 1 species